rnacentral:rRNA from 1 species
UAGGGAAUCUUCCACAAUGGGCGCAAGCCUGAUGGAGCAACACCGCGUGAGUGAAGAAGGGUUUCGGCUCGUAAAGCUCUGUUGUUAAAGAAGAACGUGGGUAAGAGUAACUGUUUACCCAGUGACGGUAUUUAACCAGAAAGCCACGGCUAACUACGUACCAG